GCGUCAGAUGUGUAUAAGAGACAGGUGAGUCAUCGAAUCUUUGAACGCACAUUGCGCCCCUUGGUAUUCCGAGGGGCAUGCCUGUUCGAGCGUCAUUAUGACCACUCAAGCCUAGCUUGGUAUUGGGGUUCGCGGUCUCGCGGCCCUUAAAAUCAGUGGCGGUGCCAUCUGGCUCUAAGCGUAGUAAUUUUAUCUCGCUAUUGGGUCCGGUGGUUGCUUGCCAAUAACCCCCAACUUCUAAGGUUGACCUCGGAUCAGGUAGGAAUACCCGCUGAACUUAAGCAUAUCAAUAAGCGGAGG
rnacentral:misc_RNA from 1 species